GUGUUGCUGUCUCCCAGUGUUUCCUUGUUUUCUCAGUGGGUUUUUUUUAUUUAAAUCUUAUUCUGCACAUGGGUCCUCCUCUGUUUUUCCACAUUAACAAUGUUGAAGGACAUGCCAGCCCAGAAGCUAGCUCACAUUUUUCCUCAUAUGGAAAGUCUGUUUCACUCCGCUCUGCACUUGGUUGAUUCAGUUUCUCUCACAAAGUUGUUCAUAAGUGUUCUUUUGGUUGUAAAGGAAAGUCACAACUAUUUUCUCUUCCUAAAGACUAAGGCACCAGAAAACUGUAGGGAGUUUUUAUUAUUUUGGAACAACAACAGCUGUUUGUGUGCGCCACUUCCCUGAAAAUAAAGCCUAGAACAAGCUGGAUUUUCAUCUUCGGUGUUACUGAAACCUGGGGCUGAUCCAUCCAUAAAGACCGUCUAUGUAUGCUCUGGACAACAAGCUGAACUCUGACAUGACUGGAUCAUCAAUAACAACCAGCUGAAUCAUGGACGGAUUACUGAAAGGCUAAAUGGCUAAAGAAGAUGAAUUCUGAGAGUACAUCUAACCCCGCUGUCUGAAGCUUCUGCUGCCAUUUCCUCUUCUGAUCUCCACUUAGAGGGAACGUCCUCAUCUUCUUGAUCGUGCUUCUGCAGCUGCAACAAACAACAGUUUAAUAGUUAAAUGUCUGAUAGAAAAAGUAUUGAAUGUUAUGAGCCUGGCCUCAAGUAACUGUGUGGAAAAGUCCUCAGACUCUAAAUGGAGUGCAAGAUCAGAAUUGAAUUAAAGUUCCUGUUAUGUUA